CACAUGUCCCCAUCCCCUCAUCCCUGUCCCCUGCCCCUGCUCUGUGUCCCAUCCUUGUCCCCAUCCCCUGCCUUGUGUCCUUGUCCCCUGGUCCCUGUCCCAUCCAUGUCCCCUGCCCCGGUGUGUGUCCUUGUCCCCUGGUCUGUGUCCCAUCCUUGUCCCCAUCCCCUGCCUUGUGUCCUUGUCCCCUGGUCCCUGUCCCAUCCGUGUCCCCCGCCCUGGUGUGUGUCCUUGUCCCCUAUUCCCUGUCCUAUCCGUGUCCCCGUCCCCUGCCACGUGUCCCCAUUCCCUGCUCCCUGUCCCAUCCCUGUCCCUGUCCCCUGCCACGUGUCCCCAUCCCCUCAUCCCUGUCCCCUGCCCCUGGUCUGUGUCCCAUCCUUGUCCCCAUCCCCUGCCUUGUGUCCUUGUCCCCUGGUCCCUGUCCUAUCUGUGUCCCCAUCCCCUGCCACAUGUCCCCAUUCCCUGCUCCCUGUCCCAUCCCCUUCUCCUGCCUCGGUGCGUGUCCUCAUCCCCUGGUCCCUGUCCCCUGCUCCUGCAGGACCAGCAGUUCUUCUCCAACCCCCCCCCGGCGCCGUGGCCCCGACUGGCCGAGGUGCUGAGCUGGCAGUUUGAGAGCGUGGCCGAGCGGGGGCUGAGCCGGGACCACCUCCUCAUGUUGGCCGAGAAGCUCUUCGGUAAGGUGGGGUGCCAGCCCCCAGCCCCCCAGCCCCCCCGGGAUGGGACAAGGGCCAUAUUGCCCCCCCCUCACCCUGCUCUCACCUCCAAGGCUCCAAGCCAUCGCCGGAGAGCGCCCUGACCUGGCCCAAAUUCUCCAAGGUGAGUGGUCCCUGUCCCCCGCCAUGGCCCCGUCCCNNNNNNNNNNGGCGUGGGGCGGCGUGGGGCAGUGUGGGGCAGUGUGGGGCAGUGUGGGGCGGUGUGGGGCGGUGUGGGGCGGUGUGGGGCUGGGGGGGAGCACCCAACCACCCCCUCUCACCUCUCUGUCCCCAGGGAACCUGCUGGAGCAGAAGAAAUACCUGAACCGGCGCCUCAUCCGCGUGUCCUCCAGGCAGGCAAAUGAGUCCUGGCAGACCGAAGAGGACUUGGUGGCUGCUACCGAAAACCUGGAGACGCUGCAGCUGCAGCCCCGUGGUGGCCCGGGGACACAGCAGGACCCACCUGGGAACCUGGGGACGCAGCAAGUGAUGGCCACGAGCCCAGGGACCCUGCAGGCCACGAGCCCGGGGACGCUGCAGCCCACGAGCCCCGGGACGCUGCAGGUGGUGGCCAUGAACCCGGGGACGCUGCAGGCGGGGUCCCAAGGCUCGGAGCCGUCCCGGCCGCUGCAGGUGGGAUCGGGGGUCUCGGAGCUGCUGCAGCCAAGGAUUGGGGACCUGCAGGCACAGGUGGUGCUGCAGCUGGUCCCCGAGGGACAGGGGACGGUGCAGGUGGGAUCGGGGGGCGUGGGGACGCUGCACGUGCUGCCCGAGGGGCUGGGGAUGGUGCAGCCGGGGGCAGGGGACGUGGGGAUGGUGCAGCCAGUGGCAGGGGACGUGGGGAUGGUGCAGCCGGGGGCAGGGGAGCCACUGCUGGUCCCCGAGGGGCAGGGGACGCUGCCACUGGAGCUGAGGGACGUGGAGCCACUGCCCGAGAGCCUGGACAUGGAGGAGCUCCUGCAGUCGCUGGCGGAGGGGUCGGGGACACUGGAGACGCUGGAGGCGCCGGAGCUGAUGCCCGAGAUGGCAGAAUCCGUGGAUUCGGGGCUGGUCCCCGGGCUGGCGAGUGAGUGUCGGGGUUUGGGGGGUCGGGGGGGGA
rnacentral:lncRNA from 1 species